CGGGGAUUGGCGCAAUUGGCUAGCGCGCACGGAUGGGGUCCGUGAGGCUGAUGGUUCGAAUCCAUUAUCCCCGACCA
rnacentral:tRNA from 3 species